rnacentral:rRNA from 1 species
GCACAAUGGGGGAAACCCUGAUGCAGCCAUGCCGCGUGUGUGAAGAAGGCCUUCGGGGUUGUAAAGCACUUUCAGUAGGGAGGAAGGUAGUGUAGUUAACACCUGCACUAUUUGACGUUACCUACAGAAGAAGCACCGGCUAACUCCGUGCCAGCAGCCGCGGUAAUACGGAGGGUGCGAGCGUUAAUCGGAAUUACUGGGCGUAAAGCGCAUGCAGGCGGCCUGUUAAGUCAGAUGUGAAAGCCCGGGGCUUAACCUCGGAAUUGCAUUUGAAACUGGCAGGCUAGAGUCUUGUAGAGGGGGGUAGGAAUUUCAGGUGUAGCGGUGAAAUGCGUAGAGAUCUGAAGGAAUACCAGUGGCGAAGGCGGCCCCCUGGACAAAGACUGACGCUCAGAUGCGAAAGCGUGGGGAGCAAACAGGAUUAGAUACCCUGGUAG